AAGGAUUCCCUAGUAACGGCGAGUGAAGAGGGAAGAGCCCAAGAUUGAAAGCUGGCGCCUUCGGCGUCCGCAUUGUAAUCUCAAGAAGCAUUUUCCGCUUCGGACCAAGCCUAAGUCCCUUGGAAAAGGGCAUCGUAGAGGGUGAGAAUCCCGUACAUGGCUUGGAGCGCCCGAGGCUUUGUGAUAUGCAUUCUAAGAGUCGAGUUGUUUGGGAAUGCAGCUCAAAAUGGGUGGUAAAUGCCAUCUAAGGCUAAAUAUUGGGGAGAGACCGAUAGCGAACAAGUACCGUGAGGGAAAGAUGAAAAGAACUUUGAAAAGAGAGUUAAACAGUACGUGAAAUUGCCAAAAGGGAAGGGUAGGAGGUCAGAGAUGCGGCAUGGGAUUCAGCCUUGCUUUUGCUUGGUGUUUUUCCCAUUUUGCAGGCCAACGUCGGUUUUGGGCACUGGAGAAUGGUGGGAGGAAUGUGGCACUCUUCGGGGUGUGUUAUAGCCUCCUACUGGAUACAGCGACCGGGACCGAGGAACGCAGCGUACUCGAAAGAGCGGGCCUUCGGCACCUUUACGCUUAGGGCGUUGGCAUAAUGACCCUC
rnacentral:rRNA from 1 species